AUACGUAGGUGGCGAGCGUUGUCCGGAAUUACUGGGUGUAAAGGGCGUGUAGGCGGGAGAGCAAGUCAGAUGUGAAAUCCCAAGGCUCAACUUUGGGGCUGCAUCUGAAACUGUUCUUCUUGAGUACUGGAGAGGGAAGCGGAAUUCCUAGUGUAGCGGUGAAAUGCGUAGAGAUUAGGAGGAACACCAGUGGCGAAGGCGGCUUCCUGGACAGAGACUGACGCUGAGGCGCGAAAGCGUGGGGAGCGAACAGGAUUAGAUACCCUGGUAGUCCACGCCGUAAACGAUGGAUACUAGGUGUAGGAGGUAUCGACACCUUCUGUGCCGGAGUUAACACAAUAAGUAUCCCACCUGGGGAGUACGGCCGCAAGGUUGAA
rnacentral:rRNA from 1 species